rnacentral:rRNA from 1 species
UCGACCUGAGGUCAGGCAAGAACACCCUCUGAACUUCC